rnacentral:lncRNA from 10 species
GGUGAGAUGGAGUCUUGCUCUGUCGCCCAGGCUGGAGUGCAGUGGUGUGAUCUUGGCUCACUGCAAGCUCCGCCUCCUGGGUUCAUGCCAUUCUCCUGCCUCAGCCUCCCGAUUAGCUGGGACUACAGGUGCCCGCCACCAUGCCCAGCUAAUCUUUUUGAAUUUUUAGUAGAGACGGGGUUUCACCGUGUUAGCCAGGAUGGUCUCAAUCUCCUGACCUCGUGAUCCGCCCGCCUUGGCCUUCCAAAGUGUUGGGAUUAUAGGCGUGAGCCACUGCGCCCAGCCAGAUUGCAGUAACUUUUUAGCCAGUGUUGGGGAGAGGGAGUGAUAUCCCUUGUCUCCAAAUAAAAUGCAUACAUACACACAAUUUUGUGUACAAUUUUAUAUUUUUUUGAGAUGGAAUCUUGCUCUGUUGCCCAGGCUGGAGUGCAGUGGCAUGAUCUUGGCUCACUGCAACCUCUGCCUCCCAGGUUCAAGCUAUUCUCCUGCUUCAGCCUCCUGAGUAGCUGGGAUUACAGGACUAAAAUCAUGUUCAUCUUUGAGAACUGCCUAGACAGCAAAGAACCUGCUGGCCUCUAAGCAGUAGGAUUUCUAGCCAUCAGGAAAGGAAUAGGAAUUUGCUCGUUGAGUUUAAUUUUGUGCUUAAAAAUAUAUGGCCUUGGCUUGGUGCCGUGGCUCAUGCCUGUAAUCCUAGCACUUUGGGAGGCUGAGGAGGACGGAUCACCUGAGGUUGGGAGUUCGAGACCAGCCUGACCAACAUGGAAAAACCCCCUCUCUACUAAAAAUACAAAAUUAGCCAGGCGUGGUGGCGCAUGCCUGUAAUCCCAGCUACUCGGGAGACAGAGGCAGAACUGCUUGAAACCAGGAGGUGGAGGUUGUGGUGAGCCGAGAUCAUGCCAUUGCACUCCAGCCUGGGCAACAAGAGCGAAACUCUGUCUCAAACAAACAAAAAAAGGCCUUGGACAGAUAUAUGCUCUAUUACUGAAAAAAGAGAUGUGAAAACAAACUCAGGUUCUCUGCUAACGCCAAGAUAUUCCUCAGCAGCUAGUCUGCCAAGGGUAGAGCACUAGCAAAAGCACUUUCACUCAGCGUUUAGAUUUCAGAAUAGCAAGACAGAAAACAGACUUUUGUCUCCAGGCCUGGAAAGUGGUAAUUAAGUGGAUUCAGAUCUGGCUUGUGAGAUACUUACUUUCGAAUGAAGACUGGCUUAAGGCGAGGCUCCAUCUCAUCUUCACUGUCUGUGUACUCUUCAUACUCAGACUCUGAUUCUGACUCCUCUCCAGAACGACCCUCAUCUUCCACUUCCAUGACUUCCAUCUCUUCAUUUUUUCUCUCCUGUGCUCGCUGACGCAUCAUGCCACGCCGCCGCUCUAUUUCCUAUCAAGUCAUAUAUAUAAGCCAGUCAGUCAAAUGGCCUAUGGCUUUUUGUUCGUCUCAUCAAACACAACAAAUUCAAAUGUAAAAAGAUACAACUUAGUAUCAUUCUAUUUUUAAUCCUAUCCCCACAAACAAGGAACAUGAUCAGAGUCCUGCCAAAGCAGUGAUCUCAUGUUUUUAAGGCUUCAACAAAUGAGCACUGGCAUGAACUUUUUCUUAUAUCCAGAAAAAAACUUCCCAUGUUCCUUUAUCAUACCUCAUCAUCAAUUUCCUCCUCC